AACCUCCGCAAUGUGAGAAAUCGCGACGGGGGGAUCCCAAGUGCCAUUCUUAACGGGAUGGCUUUUCAUUAGUGUAAAGAGCUUUUGGAAUAAGGGCUGGGCAAGACCGGUGCCAGCCGCCGCGGUAACACCGGCAGCUCUAGUGGUAGCAGUUUUUAUUGGGCCUAAAGCGUCCGUAGCCGGUUUAAUAAGUCUCUGGUGAAAUCCUGUAGCUUAACUGUGGGAAUUGCUGGAGAUACUAUUAGACUUGAGACCGGGAGAGGUUAGAGGUACUCCCAGGGUAGAGGUGAAAUUCUGUAAUCCUGGGAGGACCGCCUGUUGCGAAGGCGUCUAACUGGAACGGUUCUGACGGUGAGGGACGAAAGUUAGGGGCGCGAACCGGAUUAGAUACCCGGGUAGUCCUAACUGUAAACGAUGCGGACUUGGUGUUGGGGUGGCUUUGAGCUGUUCCAGUGCCGAAGGGAAGCUGUUAAGUCCGCCGCCUGGGAAGUACGGUCGCAAGACUGAAACUUAAAGGAAUU
rnacentral:rRNA from 1 species